UGUUCCUAUCCCUAAAAUGAUGCUUUGCUGCUUCUGGAUCACUUUAUUAUAGUCAAAGCAGGCUAUGACCUAUGGCUUAUCCAGGGUGAAGGCAUAUCAACAGCUGAACAUAGCUGAUAAGACACCGGGAUUCCAGAGAAGGGAGCCAGUGCGUGUUGGGAAGAGACAGAUCACAGCAAGCAGGACACUGGAGAAUGCUUCCCAUGGAGGUUCCUGUCUGUAUGGAUGCCUGGAAGUGGUUAAUAGAUGCCAAGAUGCAAGAGUCCUUCUUCACAUCUUUGUGGAACAAUCCACUAUUUCACAAUGAGCUGUUUCCCUCUAAUGGGUUUGUUCUUUGCGGGAUACCCAAGAGAAUAGCGACACCGUCAAUUACAACAGGAAAAUCCAUCUCCUCUCUCCCCAGUGCACUUGGCCCUGUGAUGCCACAGGUGACGACUCUGAAGACCAUGCUUCCCUUGACAAGAUUUCUAGAUACAGAAGCCAUUUUUCCCUCCACCAACCUAGG